ACAUGCACUCACACACACACACACACACACACACACACACACGCACACACACACACGGACACACACACACACGCACACACAUGCACUCACACACACACACACACAAAAAUAGAAAAUAUUUUCCAAUAUUUUCUAUUAGCAAGGAGCUUAAAAACAAACCGAACGGGUCAACAAGAAAAAGACACAGAGGAGGUGAUGAGAGAACGGGGUGAGGAGAGAGGAGGUGAUGGGAGAACGGGGUGAGGAGAGAGGAGGUGAUGAGAGAACGGGGUGAGGAGAGAGGAGGUGAUGAGAGAAGAGGGUGAGGAGAGAGGAGGUGAUGAGAGAAGAGGGUGAGGAGAGAGGAGGUGAUGAGAGAACGGGCUACGGAGAGAGGAGGUGAUGGGAGAACGGGGUGAGGAGGGAGGAGGUGAUGAGAGAAGAGAGUGAGGAGAGAGGAGGUGAUGAGAGAGGAGGUGAUGAGAGAACGGGGUGAGGAGAGAGGAGGUGAUGAGAGAAGAGGGUGAGGAGAGAGGAGGUGAUGGGAGAACGGGGUGAGGAGAGACGAGGGGGCAUGGGAUGGAGGAGGGGGUGAGUGAGGGAGGGAGGGGGGCAGCGGAGGUAAAGGAUGUGACAGUAAGGGAGAGAGAGAGUGCAGAAGGUGGAGAGCUUACAUAAGCUUCUCAUAAACACAAGACACACACACACACACACACAACACACACACACACACACACACACACAUACACACACACACAUACACACACACAUACACACACACACAUACACACACACACAUACACACACACACACACGCACACACACACACAUACACACACACAUACACACACACACAUACACACACACACAUACACACACACGCGCACACACACACACACACACACACACACACACACACACUCUCUCCGCAUCGAACCCCCCUGGUCUACAUCUGAGAAAAUGUCUGGAGAAAUCUGCAGGGUGCUUCGAGAAAAAAAUAAUACUUUUACCCUCAGAGCAGCAGCCUAUUACACCUCCCAGAGAGGUGAGAAGAGGAGAGGAGAGGUGGAGUAGAUGUGAGGAGAGGUGGAGUAGAUGUGAGGAGAGGUGAAGGAGAUGUGAGGAGAGGAGAGGUGGAGAUGUGAGGAGAGGUGGAGGAGAUGUGAGGAGAGGUGGAGGAGAUGUGAGGAGAGGUGGAGGAUAGGUGGAGGAGAUGUGAGGAGAGGUGGAGUAGAUGUGAGGAGAGGUGAAGGAGAUGUGAGGAGAGGAGAGGUGGAGAUGUGAGGAGAGGAGGAGGAGAUGUGAGGUGAGGUGGAGGAGAUGUGAGGAGAGGUGGAGGAUAGGUGGAGGAGAUGUGAGGAGAGGUGGAGGAGAUGUGAGGAGAGGUGGAGGAUAGGUGGAGGAGAUGUGAGGAGAGGUGGAGGAGAUGUGAGGAGAGGUGGAGGAGAUGUGAGGAGAUGGGAGGAGAGGUGGAGGAGAUGUGAGGAGAGGUGGAGGAGAUGUGAGGAGAUGGGAGGAGAGGUGGAGGAGAUGUGAGGAGAGGUGGAGGAGAUGUGAGGAGAGGUGGAGGAGAGGUGGAGGAGAGGUGGAGGAGAUGUGAGGAGAGGUGGAGGAGAUGUGAGGAGUCAUUUUCCACUGAAUAAAACCAUCCGUUGAGUUUCUCCUGGUAUUCCACAUGUACAUAAGUCAUGUGACCUCGGUGGACACACUGCACCUCCAGCAGGCCUCCUCUGACGGCUCCUCGGGGUCCUCACCUCUUUCUGGUGGUACUUGAUGGCCAGUUUGAGCUUGGCCAGGUCGUGGCACUGCCUCGGGUCCAGCUCCUCGCUCUGGUCGUUGUCUCUGUGGUUCAGGAUGGUCUCCAGCUCCCUGGAGCUCCUGGCCUGGUCCAGAAGGUCCUUGGCGAAGCGUUUGCACUGCUGGGACAGCUCCUCGUACUCCUGCCGGAACUCGUUCUCCACCUGAGAGGACGCAGGAGGUUCCUCCUGAAGGCCUCCGGUGCAACACAAGAGACUGACCGGUUCUACUUCCCGCCCUCACCUUGCUGAGCUCCUUGAGCUCCCAGCCCAGCCUGAAGGCCGUGAGGAUGGGGUCCUCGCUGGACAGCGCGAUGAGCGAGGGCGAGGCCAGCGCCUUGUAGAUGUUGAGUCGAGACCUCGAGUGCCGAAGACUGUCCACCUGCGGACGGAGACAGUCAGAGCGUGGAGGCCCUGAGCGGAGGCGGGGGAUCUCCUCGGUGGAGUCAUCACUCACCUCUGAGCUGGACACGCACUCCACACAGUCGCAUCGUAUCUGGUGUGGUCGGGGAAUGGUGACCUAAUCACAACAACCACAACAACAACAGGGUUACACACAAACAUCUCAGCUGGCGUGCCCAUGAGUCCACUGGAGAGGAAAGUCACCUUCCGCUGGACGAGCAGCUUGAUGAUCUCGUAGUUGUUGGUGUGAGCAGCGAGCAUGAUGGGAGUUAUGUCCGGGGUGAACUCUGAGAACUGACUGUCCAUCAUCAGCGAGGGGACCUGAAGACACGAAAGUGCUGUUGUCAUAAAUGUACUGUGUCAUGUGACAAACCCGCCGCGACCUCAUCAGAUGAUGGGAGGAGAACAAAGACAAACUCAAAGGAACUCUUAUUUUGAAAAUGUCACAAAGCGGUGACGGACCAAUCAGCCCCCUGGAGACGCCUGCUGGUUCGGAAACGAGGGAACAUCUGGGGGCCGUAAAGAGCUAUUGGGAGACAUCUGGAUCUGUGUCCAUUCAUUGAAAGGAGUAGUUUCACCUUACGGGAAACAACUUCUAACACACCUACGAACAGGUAGCCUAAAAGGACAACGCGUGCAGCCGCAUCCCGGAGUCUCCGCUGGUUGCCGGGCAACCGGACCAUGACGACGAGGCGUGCAGUGAAUCCUGGGAGGAGACGAUGACUGUUGUGUCGAAUAUUAAACAACGAUAAUUAUUCCUCCAAUGAGCAUUCAGAAGCUAAACGUAACGCGGCUCAGUGUUUACAAGAUGCCUUUGAGGUCAGUAGUUUAUUUAAGUCGUGGUUGACGCCGAUGUUUACACAAAUAAAAGCUUUACAUGUGUGAAUGUUUAAUACGCACAUUAAAGUAGAAAUAAAGAAACACACACUUGAGGAGGAACAUGUGGCCUCUUUCAUCUCACAGAGAAGCUUCUCUCUGUCCCUCCUCUGUCCUUGUCUCCUUCUCUCCUUCUCCUCGGCUCCUUCUCUCCUUCCUUUACACCUCUCUCUCUCUUCUCCUCGGCUCCUUCUCUCCUUCCUUAAAACCUCUCUCCUUCUCCUCGGCUCCUUCUCUCCUUCCUUUACACCUCUCUCUCCUUCUCCUCGGCUCCUUCUCUC
ensembl:lncRNA